AUGAACAAAGCUAGUGGAGGUGAUAGAAUUCCAGUGGAGCUACCUCAAAUCCUGAAAGAUGAUGCUGUGAAAGUGCUGCACUCAAUAUGCCAACAAGUUUGGAAAACUCAGCAGUGGCCACAGGACUGGAAAAGGUCAGUUUUCAUUCCAAUCCCAAAGAAAGGCAAUGCCAAAGAAUGCUCAAACUACCAAACAAUUGCACUCAUCUCACACACUAGUAAAGUAAUGCUCAAAAUUCUUCAAGCCAGGCUUCAGCAAUAUGUGAACUGUGAACUUCCAGAUGUUCAAGCUGGUUUUAGAAAAGGCAGAGGAACCAGAGAUCAAAUAGCCAACAUCUGCUGGAUCAUGGAAAAAGCAAGAGAGUUCCAAAAAAACAUCUAUUUCUGCUUUAUUGAUUAUGCCAAAGCCUUUGACUGUGUGGAUCACAAUAAACUGUGGAAAAUUCUGAAAGAGAUGGGAAUACCAGACCACCUGACCUGCCUCUUGAGAAACCUAUAUGCAGGUCAGGAAGCAACAGUUAGAACUGGAUAUGGAACAACAGACUGGUUCCAAAUAGGAAAAGGAGUACGUCAAGCCUGUAUAUUGUCACCUUGCUUAUUUAACUUAUAUGCAGAAUACAUCAUGAGAAACGCUGGGCUGGAAGAAGCACAAGCUGGAAUCAAGAUUGCUGGGAGAAAUAUCAAUAACCUCAGAUAUGCAUAUGACGCCACCCUUAUGGCAGGAAGUGAAGAGGAACUAAAAAGCCUCUUGAUGAAAGUAAAAGAGGAGAGUGAAAAAGCUGGCUUAAAGCUCAACAUUCAGAAAAUGAAGAUCAUGGCAUCUGGUCCCAUCACUUCAUGGGAAAUAGAUGGGGAAACAGUGGAAACAGUGUCAGACUUUAUUUUGGGGGGCUCCAAAAUCACUGCAGAUGGUGAUUGCAGCCAUGAAAUUAAAAGACGCUUACUCCUUGGAAGAAAAGUUAUGACCAACCUAGACAGCAUAUUCAAAAGCAGAGACACUACUUUGCCAACAAAGGUUCGUCAAGUCAAGGCUAUGGUUUUUCCAGUAGUCAUGUAUGGAUGUGAGAGUUGGACUGUGAAGAAAGCUGAGUGCUGA
rnacentral:lncRNA from 1 species